AGAGUUUGAUCCUGGCUCAGGAUGAACGCUAGCGACAGGCUUAACACAUGCAAGUCGAGGGGCAGCAUGAUUUGUAGCAAUACAGAUUGAUGGCGACCGGCGCACGGGUGAGUAACGCGUAUGCAACUUACCUAUCAGAGGGGGAUAGCCCGGCGAAAGUCGGAUUAAUACCCCAUAAAACAGGGGUCCCGCAUGGGAAUAUUUGUUAAAGAUUCAUCGCUGAUAGAUAGGCAUGCGUUCCAUUAGGCAGUUGGCGGGGUAACGGCCCACCAAACCGACGAUGGAUAGGGGUUCUGAGAGGAAGGUCCCCCACAUUGGUACUGAGACACGGACCAAACUCCUACGGGAGGCAGCAGUGAGGAAUAUUGGUCAAUGGCCGAGAGGCUGAACCAGCCAAGUCGCGUGAAGGAAGAAGGAUCUAUGGUUUGUAAACUUCUUUUAUAGGGGAAUAAAGUGGAGGACGUGUCCUUUUUUGUAUGUACCCUAUGAAUAAGCAUCGGCUAACUCCGUGCCAGCAGCCGCGGUAAUACGGAGGAUGCGAGCGUUAUCCGGAUUUAUUGGGUUUAAAGGGUGCGUAGGUGGUGAUUUAAGUCAGCGGUGAAAGUUUGUGGCUCAACCAUAAAAUUGCCGUUGAAACUGGGUUACUUGAGUGUGUUUGAGGUAGGCGGAAUGCGUGGUGUAGCGGUGAAAUGCAUAGAUAUCACGCAGAACUCCGAUUGCGAAGGCAGCUUACUAAACCAUAACUGACACUGAAGCACGAAAGCGUGGGGAUCAAACAGGAUUAGAUACCCUGGUAGUCCACGCAGUAAACGAUGAUUACUAGGAGUUUGCGAUACAAUGUAAGCUCUACAGCGAAAGCGUUAAGUAAUCCACCUGGGGAGUACGCCGGCAACGGUGAAACUCAAAGGAAUUGACGGGGGCCCGCACAAGCGGAGGAACAUGUGGUUUAAUUCGAUGAUACGCGAGGAACCUUACCCGGGCUUAAAUUGCAGAUGAAUUACGGUGAAAGCCGUAAGCCGCAAGGCAUCUGUGAAGGUGCUGCAUGGUUGUCGUCAGCUCGUGCCGUGAGGUGUCGGCUUAAGUGCCAUAACGAGCGCAACCCUUAUCACUAGUUACUAACAGGUGAAGCUGAGGACUCUGGUGAGACUGCCAGCGUAAGCUGUGAGGAAGGUGGGGAUGACGUCAAAUCAGCACGGCCCUUACAUCCGGGGCGACACACGUGUUACAAUGGCAUGGACAAAGGGCAGCUACCUGGCGACAGGAUGCUAAUCUCCAAACCAUGUCUCAGUUCGGAUCGGAGUCUGCAACUCGACUCCGUGAAGCUGGAUUCGCUAGUAAUCGCGCAUCAGCCAUGGCGCGGUGAAUACGUUCCCGGGCCUUGUACACACCGCCCGUCAAGCCAUGGGAG
rnacentral:rRNA from 1 species